rnacentral:lncRNA from 1 species
UGAGAAGUUUUUUUUUUUUGGGGGGCAAAAUUUGAGAAGUAUAUAAACCCCAAAAAUUGCAAAGAGAAGUAUGUGUUUGUUAUUUAGCAGACGCACAUGGUCGAGAGGACAUCCUUCGAUUUCCUCGUGAUUUCCGAAGGCCCAUUUUUUUUUUCUAUUAUUAUAAAAUUUCGAAACAAUGUAAUGAAUAAAUCAUUACAUAUACUUAAGCCAUCAUUUGAACAAAACAUAAGAGUAUAUAACCUUUCAGUAUGUACACAUGCAUACACAUUAGUUUAUACAGUUAUGACUGUUAAAUCUGUUGAAUUGAUAGUGAAGUGAAAUAUAAUUUUGAUAGUGAAAUAUAAUAUAAUUACAUAUUUCUCCAACUGAUUUUUAGUUUUUUUUUUAAAUUACAAAGAGAGAAAAGAAAUUGCUAUUUUAUUUUUAUUUUUUUCAGG